rnacentral:tRNA from 1 species
GCCACCUUAGCUCAGUCGGUAGAGCAAUGCCUUCGUAAGGCAGAGGUCCCGAGUUCGAAUCUCGGAGGUGGCU